GAGUUUGAUCAUGGCUCAGGACGAACGCUGGCGGCGUGCUUAACACAUGCAAGUCGAGCGGAAAGGCUCCUUCGGGGGUACUCGAGCGGCGAACGGGUGAGUAACACGUGAGUAAUCUGCCCUUCACUCUGGGAUAACGUUCAGAAAUGGGUGCUAAUACCGGAUGUACACUGUUCCUCGCAUGGGGGGUGGUGGAAAGGUUUUUCUGGUGGGGGAUGUGCUCGCGGCCUAUCAGCUUGUUGGUGGGGUAAUGGCCUACCAAGGCUUUGACGGGUAGCCGGCCUGAGAGGGUGACCGGCCACACUGGGACUGAGACACGGCCCAGACUCCUACGGGAGGCAGCAGUGGGGAAUAUUGGACAAUGGGCGGAAGCCUGAUCCAGCAACGCCGCGUGAGGGAUGACGGCC
rnacentral:rRNA from 1 species